rnacentral:rRNA from 1 species
CCUACGGGGAGCAGCAGUGAGGAAUAUUGGUCAAUGGACGAAAGUCUGAACCAGCCAAGUCGCGUGCAGGAUGACUGCCCUAUGAGUUGUAAACUUCUUUUGUAUGGGGGUAAACCCCGAUAUGUGUACCGGCUUGUAUGUAUCAUAUGAAUAAGGAUCGGCUAACUCCGUGCCAGCAGCCGCGGUAAUACGGAGGAUCCGAGCGUUAUCCGGAUUUAUUGGGUUUAAAGGGUGCGUAGGCGGUUUGAUAAGUUAGAGGUGAAAUGUUGGGGCUCAACCUUCAAAUUGCAUUUGAAACUGUUUGUCUUGAGUACUGGAGAGGGAGACGGAAUUCGUGGUGUAGCGGUGAAAUGCGUAGAUAUAAGGAGGAACACCAGUGGCGAAGGCGGUCUGCUGGACAGCAACUGACGGUGAGGCGCGAAAGCGUGGGGAGCAAACAGGAUUAGAUACCCCGGUAGUC